rnacentral:pre_miRNA from 1 species
AAGACAACACAGGAAGGAGACAGAGAUAGGAAAGAACGAAAAAAAAAAGCGUUCUUUCCUAUCUCUGUCUCCUUCCUGUGUUGUCUU